rnacentral:rRNA from 1 species
AUUGAACGCUGGCGGCAGGCUUAACACAUGCAAGUCGAGCGGAGAUGAGGUGCUUGCACCUUAUCUUAGCGGCGGACGGGUGAGUAAUGCUUAGGAAUCUGCCUAUUAGUGGGGGACAACAUUCCGAAAGGAAUGCUAAUACCGCAUACGCCCUACGGGGGAAAGCAGGGGAUCUUCGGACCUCGCGCUAAUAGAUGAGCCGAAGUCGGAUUAGCUAGUUGGUGGGGUAAAGGCCUACCAAGGCGACGAUCUGUAGCGGGUCUGAGGGGAUGAUCCGCCACACUGGGACUGAGACACGGCCCAGACUCCUACGGGAGGCAGCAGUGGGGAAUAUUGGACAAUGGGCGGAAGCCUGAUCCAGCCAUGCCGCGUGUGUGAAGAAGGCCUUUUGGUUGUAAAGCACUUUAAGCGAGGAGGAGGCUACCUGGAUUAAUACUCUAGGAUAGUGGACGUUACUCGCAGAAUAAGCACCGGCUAACUCUGUGCCAGCCGCCGCCGUAAUAC